CCUACGGGAGGCUGCAGUGGGGAAUAUUGCACAAUGGGGGAAACCCUGAUGCAGCGACGCCGCGUGAGUGAAGAAGUAUUUCGGUAUGUAAAGCCUUAUCAGCAGGGAAGAAAUAGCGACCUUUGGGUCGCCAGACGGUACCUGAUUAAGAAGCCCCGGCUAACUACGUGCCAGCAGCCGCGGUAAUACAUAGGGGGCAAGCGUUAUCCGGGUUUAUGGGUGGUAAAGGGGGGGUAGACGGCAGCGCAAGUCUGAAGUGAAAUGCCGGGGCUUAACCCCGGAACUGCUUUGGAAACUGUGCAGCGAGAGUGCAGGAGAGGUAAGUGGAAUGCCUAGUGUAGCGGUGAAAUGCGUAGAUAUUAGGAGGAACACCAGUGGCGAAGGCGGCGUACUGGACUGUAACUGACGUUGAGGCUCGAAAGCGUGGGGAGCAAACAGGAUUAGAUACCCGUGUAGUC
rnacentral:rRNA from 1 species